GAUGUACUUGACUCAUGGCCCUGAAGAAUUGACUGUCCUCACCCCAAGAAGGGCUAGACAAGCCAAAACUCUCACCUUCCACUCUGAAGAGCACUGAAGGGGCCCAUGGAAAGCUACCAUGUACCUGUUCACAGACAUCUCCAUCUCCUGUGUUGAGCCCCUGGUGGCCCUGGAAAUAAUGGUACAAUAGGCUAUCCAACUGUAUGAGAACAAAGUUCUGCCAGCUCCUGGCCCAGGAGAACCACCUAAUGUCCAUCUUGGAGACCAAGUGUUCAUUCAAACUUGGAAAGAAGAGAUUCUUGUAGAAUAGUUAACACAAAAAUGAAUAAAGCCAGCUACACCUGAACUGUCUGAGGAAAAAGACCACCCAAAUGAAGAAAGUUAUUCCUGCAAACCCCUGGAAGGCCCGAGCCUCUUUUCCAAUAAACAAGACUCCAGUACUGCUCCAGAUGCAAAUAUUUAGAAUCACUAAUGAUACCAAAUCCACCACAGAUUAAAUGGGCACCUGGAUCAUUAGUGAUGCAACUAUUCCUCUGCUGGGUAUCUUCCCAAAAGAAUUAAA